rnacentral:rRNA from 1 species
GCCUGACGGAGCAAUACCGCGUGAGGGAUGAAAGCCUGUGGGUUGUAAACCUCUUUUCUCAAGGAAGAAGUUCUGACGGUACUUGAGGAAUAAGCAUCGGCUAACUCUGUGCCAGCAGCCGCGGUAAUACAGAGGAUGCAAGCGUUAUCCGGAAUCACUGGGCAUAAAGCGUCUGUAGGUUGCCUACCAAGUCUGCUGUUAAAGAUCAGGGCCUAACCCUGGGAAAGCAGUGGAAACUAGUAGGCUUGAGUGUGGUAGAGGUAGAGGGAAUUCCUGGUGUAGCGGUGAAAUGCGUAGAUAUUAGGAAGAACACCAAUGGCGAAAGCACUCUACUGGGCCAUAACUGACACUGAGAGACGACAGCUAGGGGAGCAAAUGGGAUUAGAUACCCCAG